CCUACGGGGGGCUGCAGUGGGGAAUAUUGGACAAUGGGCGCAAGCCUGAUCCAGCCAUGCCGCGUGAGUGAUGAAGGCCCUAGGGUUGUAAAGCUCUUUCAGCGGGGACGAUAAUGACGGUACCCGUAGAAGAAGCCCCGGCUAACUUCGUGCCAGCAGCCGCGGUAAUACGAAGGGGGCUAGCGUUGUUCGGAAUCACUGGGCGUAAAGCGCACGUAGGCGGAUCGUUAAGUCGAGGGUGAAAUCCCAGGGCUCAACCCUGGAACUGCCUUCGAUACUGGCGAUCUUCGAGUCCGGGAGAGGUGAGUGGAACUCCGAGUGUAGAGGUGAAAUUCGUAGAUAUUCGGAAGAACACCAGUGGCGAAGGCGGCUCACUGGCCCGGUACUGACGCUGAGGUGCGAAAGCGUGGGGAGCAAACAGGCUUAGAUACCCCGGUAGUC
rnacentral:rRNA from 1 species